rnacentral:rRNA from 1 species
GUCAGGCGGGGCCACCCGCCGAGUUUAAGCAUAUAAAUAAGCGGAGGAGAAGAAACUUACGAGGAUUCCCCUAGUAACGGCGAGCGAACCGGGAUCAGCCCAGCUUGAGAAUCGGGCGGCCGCGCCGUCCGAAUUGUAGUCUGGAGAAGCGUCCUCAGCGACGGACCGGGCCCAAGUCCCCUGGAAAGG